rnacentral:rRNA from 1 species
CUGCCCAAUGAGGAAUUUAAUGGCCGCGGUAUUUUGACCGUGCAAAGGUAGCAUAAUCAUUAGUUUUUUAAUUGAAAGCUGGAAUGAAAGGUUGGAUGAGAAAAUAGCUGUCUCUAUUUAAAUUAAUUAGAAUUUUAUUUUUAAGUAAAAAAGCUUAAAUAUAAAUAGAAGACGAGAAGACCCUAUAGAGUUUUAUUUAUUUUAUAAAUAAUUUUUUUAGUAUUUAAAUCUUUUUUUAUAUAGUAAAUUUGAUUGGGGUGAUUAGAAAAUUGAAUUAACUUUUUUUUUAUAAAACCAUUGAUUUAUGAAUAUUUGAUCCUUUAAUAAAGAUUAAAAGAAAAAAUUACCUUAGGGAUAACAGCGUAAUUUUUUUAGAGAGUUCAAAUCGAAAAAAAAGAUUGCGACCUCGAUGUUGGAUUAAAAUAAAAUUUUGGUGUAGAAGCUAAAAAAUUUAGGUCUGUUCGACCUUUAAAAUUUUACAUGAUCUGAGUUUAAACCGGUGU